rnacentral:ncRNA from 1 species
UAACCGGUUAUGGGGUUAACCGUAAACCGCAGAAAUGCUGAUGACUCCUACUUUU